rnacentral:rRNA from 1 species
GACGAACGCUGGCGGCGUGCUUAACACAUGCAAGUCGAACGGAAAGGCCCUGCUCUUGUGGGGUGCUCGAGUGGCGAACGGGUGAGUAACACGUGAGUAACCUGCCCUUGACUUUGGGAUAACUUCAGGAAACUGGGGCUAAUACCGGAUAGGAGCUCCUGCUGCAUGGUGGGGGUUGGAAAGUUUCGGCGGUUGGGGAUGGACUCGCGGCUUAUCAGCUUGUUGGUGGGGUAGUGGCUUACCAAGCCUUUGACGGGUAGCCGGCCUGAGAGGGUGACCGGCGACAUUGGGACUGCGAUACGGCCCAGACUCCUACGGUAGGCAGCAGUGGGGAAUAUUGCACAAUGGGCGGAAGCCUGAUGCAGCAACGCCGCGUGCGGGAUGACGGCCUUCGGGUUGUAAACCGCUUUCGCCUGUGACGAAGCGUGAGUGACGGUAAUGGGUAAAGAAGCACCGGCUAACUACGUG